rnacentral:lncRNA from 1 species
AAGGAUACAUUCCACUACCACACUAUUAUAAAUGUUAUGUUUGGGUGUGUGUAUGUAUAUAAAAGAGAGAGCAGAUAAUCGAGAUUUAAAUAAGGUGGUAAAAAAAACCAGGAAAUGAAGAUUUUACCAAAACAACUACAAUAACCAUCCCAAGCUACAACUAUUAACAGAUUCACUAAUAUGGUCAUUUGCCUAGUUAAAAUGAUUGGUGAACAUUUAACUGGGCAAAAGGAAUGGCAUCCAUCAUCCAAACAGGCUCACUUCCCCCAGCCCCCAAAAUGAACAGUAGUUUUAAUAGCAAAAGAAAUAAAAAGUUUUUUUCUUUUGAUUCUUUAGAGCCAACUGUGAAAGAGGUCAGCAAUACAUUAACAGCAGCAAUGGACAAGGAAGAGCAAAAUAGAGGAUUAAAGUAUCUUGCUGGACGUUUGUUCAUCUUUUUCUGUAUUAGCCUGAAAACUGCAACUGGCUUAUGGAAAUUUCCGGUGCAUGUGUCUCCUUAGAUCCUUCACAGAUUUAGAAUUCAGUCUGCCUGAGGGCUCUAUAACCAUGUAAGAAAGCUUUCUUUAUCUAGCUUGGUGGCAGCCAAAACAGACUCCAUGUCAUUAAGGAUGUCAGAACUCAAAGCUUC